UAGUCCACGCUGUAAACGAUGUCUACUAGCUGUUGGGUUCCUUGAGGACUUAGUGGCGCAGCUAACGCGAUAAGUAGGCCGCCUGGGGAGUACGGCCGCAAGGUUAAAGCUCAAAUGAAUUGACGGGGGCCCGCACAAGCGGUGGAGCAUGUGGUUUAAUUCGACGCAACGCGAAGAACCUUACCAGGUCUUGACAUCCUACUAAGUUUUCAGAGAUGAGAAUGUGCCUUCGGGAAAGUAGUGACAGGUGCUGCAUGGCUGUCGUCAGCUCGUGUCGUGAGAUGUUGGGUUAAGUCCCGUAACGAGCGCAACCCUUGUCUUUAGUUGCCAUCAUUUAGUUGGGCACUCUAGAGAAACUGCCGGUGACAAACCGGAGGAAGGUAAGGAUGACGUCAAGUCAGCAUGCCCCUUACGCUCUGGGCUACACACGUGCUACAAUGGUCGUGACAAAGAGUUGCUAGUCUGCGAAGGCAAGCCAAUCUCAUAAACGCGGCCUUAGUUCGGA
rnacentral:rRNA from 1 species